ensembl:lncRNA novel transcript
AGUAACUAAGGGCAAGGAGGCAUGGAGAACAAGAAAGGAAACAGGAGACAUCAAUCAACAUAUGUAAGAUGAACACUGGUUUGAUCCGGGACAACCUGAAGCAAAAGCGGGUCAACUCGAAGCCAGGAGGGGGCUUCCAGGUCACAGAAAUGGGGUCUCCCUCAGUUGCCCAGGCUGGUCUCUGGUGCCCAACGCCGGGCUCCCGGUAAUCUCUACAAAUAAUCCAGUGAAGGAAUGCCAGAGAGUGGAAAGUGGAGGAUGACUGACAAAGGACGCCCGAGUACGUUUUCACUUCAAGCUCUACAGGAGAGAAUCAGCUUCCUGUCUGGGUACCCACAAGACAUCUUAAGCUGUGCCAUGAGACAGAGUCCAAGAAGAGGAAAAGACCUCAGAAUGUCUCUGCGCCCCCAGUUCGUCAGACGGCUCAGAUGAACAUCUCUGUUGAGCAGAUGGAAACCAGUAAAACUCCCCAAGCAACUCCACCGACCUGGGGGCAGAUGAAGAGACUGGCUCACAUUGCAGAAGAGAACCUGAGGUCUCAGAACAAGCCGCUGACCACCAGUAAUCUAAUGGUAGCUAUGAUGGCGGUAAUCUCCUUGGUGGUGAGUCUUCCUGUAGCAGAGGCAGAUCAAAAUUACACCUAUUUUUGUAAUAGGAGGAAGGAGGAGGAGGAGGAAUGUUAAUGAAUGUUUCUAUUGGUUAUCGCUUUCCUGCCAUCUGCCUGGGGCCAGCAGCAGGAUUUUUAAAUUAUGAUACACAAAGUUGGAUGGUUUAUGUUCCUGCACAUAACGGAUCAAAAGCCUUUAUUCAUGCAAUCAGUGGAAGAACAUUUCAAUCUUUGGACACUAUUAAAUACCUUGAGCA